AUUGAACGCUGGCGGCAGGCCUAACACAUGCAAGUCGAGCGGAUGAAGGGAGCUUGCUCCUGGAUUCAGCGGCGGACGGGUGAGUAAUGCCUAGGAAUCUGCCUGGUAGUGGGGGAUAACGUCCGGAAACUGGCGCUAAUACCGCAUACGUCCUGAGGGAGAAAGUGGGGGAUCUUCGGACCUCACGCUAUCAGAUGAGCCUAGGUCGGAUUAGCUAGUUGGUGGGGUAAAGGCCUACCAAGGCGACGAUCCGUAACUGGUCUGAGAGGAUGAUCAGUCACACUGGAACUGAGACACGGUCCAGACUCCUACGGGAGGCAGCAGUGGGGAAUAUUGGACAAUGGGCGAAAGCCUGAUCCAGCCAUGCCGCGUGUGUGAAGAAGGUCUUCGGAUUGUAAAGCACUUUAAGUUGGGAGGAAGGGCAGUAAGUUAAUACCUUGCUGUUUUGACGGUACCAACAGAAUAAGCACCGGCUAACUUCGUG
rnacentral:rRNA from 1 species